rnacentral:rRNA from 2 species
UACGGAGGGUGCAAGCGUUAUCCGGAUUCACUGGGUUUAAAGGGUGCGUAGGUGGAUUGGUAAGUCAGUGGUGAAAUCUCCGGGCUUAACCCGGAAACUGCCAUUGAUACUAUCAGUCUUGAAUACCGUGGAGGUCAGUAGAAUAUGUCAUGUAGCGGUGAAAUGCUUAGAUAUGACAUAGAAUACCAAUUGCGAAGGCAGCUGGCUACACGAAUAUUGACACUCAGGCACGAAAGCGUGGGGAUCAAACAGG